rnacentral:lncRNA from 1 species
GAAAAGUCUGUAGGGAGUAUACAAUUCGGCUCUUUUAAUCUCGUUACCGGAAGCUCUCCAGUUAACACUAAUGGCGAGUUGAAGAAGGCUCAGGCUGCUGAUGGAGUAGUUAAAUCUCGACCUUCCAGCUCUCAUAAGGAAGAUUCUGCUGUGUCUCAAAAGAGAGUCGAUGCUCCUAGACCUUCCAGCUCUCAUAAGGAAGAUAGAAGUAUUCAAUCUUCUGUGUCUCAAAAGAGAGUCGAUGCUCCUAGACCUUCCAGCUCUCACAAGGAAGAUAGAAGUAUUCAAUCUGCUGCGUCUCAAAAGAGACUCGAUACUUCUAGACCUUCCAGCUCUGACAAAGUUGCAAAACUCCCUGGGAAACACACUUCAGGA